rnacentral:rRNA from 1 species
ACGAACGCUGGCGGCGUGCUUCACACAUGCAAGUCGAACGGAAAGGCCUGCUUUCCCUUGUGGAUUGCGGGUACUCGAGUGGCGAACGGGUGAGUAACACGUGAGUGAUCUGCCCCCAACUUGGGUAUAAGCCUGGGAAACUGGGUCUAAUUCCCGAUAGGACUGCAGGGUGGUGCCUGUGGUGGAAAACGAUUUUCUAGUGGUUGGGGAUGAGCUCGCGGCCUAUCAGCUUGUUGGUGGGGUAAUGGCCUACCAAGGCGGCGACGGGUAGCCGGCCUGAGAGGGUGGACGGCCACAUUGGGACUGAGAUACGGCCCAGACUCCUACGGGAGGCAGCAGUGGGGAAUAGUGCACAAUGGGCGGAAGCCUGAUGCAGCGACGCCGCGUGGGGGAUGACGGCCUUCGGGUUGUAAACUCCUUUCGACCGCGAGGAAGCCACCUGGUUGGAAGGGUGGUGACGGUAGUGGUAGAAGAAGCACCGGCUAACUACGUG